GUGAGGAAUUUUCCGCAAUGGGCGAAAGCCUGACGGAGCAAUGCCGCGGGAAGGAUGAAGGCCUAUGGGUUGUAAACUUCUUUUCUCAGAAAAGAAUUAUGACGGUAUCUGAGGAAUAAGCAUCGGCUAACUCUGUGCCAGCAGCCGCGGUAAGACAGAGGAUGCAAGCGUUCUCCGGAAUGAUUGGGCGUAAAGCGUCUGUAGGUUGUUUAAAAAGUAUUCUGUCAAAGAUUAGGGCUUAAACCUAGAUAGGCAGAAUAAACUUUUAAGCUAGAGUUUGGUAGAGGCAGAGGGAAUUCCCGGUGGAGCGGUGAAAUGCGUAGAUAUCGGGAGGAACACCAAAGGCGAAGGCACUCUGCUGGGCCAAGACUAACACUGAGAGACGAAAGCGAGGGGAGCAAAUGGGAUUAGAAACCCUUGUAGUCC
rnacentral:rRNA from 1 species